GUCCCUAGGGCCUCUCCUAAUAUGGGAGCUCCCUGUUGGUGGUAGGCUGUGUGAUUGACUGCUUCAAAGUAAAAUGCAUCUGGUAAUGAAGAUUCCACCCAUCCAUCCAUUAUCUAACCCGCUACAUCCCAACUACAGGGUCAUGGAGGUCUUCUGGAGCCAAUCCCAGCCAACACAGGGCACAAGGCAAGAAACAAACCCCGACCAGGGAGUCAGGCCACCACAGCAGAACAACUGAAGAAUCCACCCAGUAACAUCACUUCCAAUUCUCAAGAUCCCAAUUCUUCAUGAUGUCACUUCCGGUUCCCAUCCACAAGAUCCCACCACUUUAUAACAUCUCUUCCUGCAAAGUCUACCAUAUAUACCACUAUUAUUUUCUCUUUUGUCAGUUCUGAUUUGAACUCUGUCUGUAAUGACACCAUUUCCUUUACUUGUGCUACAGUAUAUGGGGAAUCCCCCCAAUCCUUUGACUGUGUUUUUGUCUUUAUUUUGCAAUAUAUAGAUAGUACCUUAUUUGUCUUUUGGGGGAAAUUUAGCAUUUACAGAAUGCUUAAGAAAUAUAGAAUUAUGGUGGGUCGCAAUUGACCAGAAGGACAUGGAAGUGUUCCAGAUCUGUAGCAGCGGUAGACAAAUGUGACAUUUGUAAACUUUUUUAGUUAUCUGUAAAGUUAGGGCACUUUAUUAAAAGUCUAAACAUCUCUCAGCUGAAAAAAUGAUAUUUAGAUGGUUUUUAUGGGUUGUGAACAAACUAUCGUUAAAUUCAGUGUAAAAUUCAAUGGUGACCCGAAGGACAUUGCUAUGCUCAAAAUGUUUAGCAGCUGUACAAGAGUGUAACAUUUGUAAACGUUUUUGAUGUCAGGUACUAAUAGACAGAAGGAUCUUGGUGAAGCUGCUGGCUAUAAUGAACAAUAUCUUGUAUCCUCUGGGUGAUACAAACGAGUCAGUUUGCAGAAUAGAAGGGUGACUUUACCACUGUGUUCCUAGUGCCAUUUUACAAUGUGAUUUUAAAUAGCUUAUGCACAUAUUUUAUUUAGUAGUCUGUCUGACCACCAUUUCAGCAUGUAUGUAU